rnacentral:rRNA from 1 species
CUUAGAAGCAGCCAUCCUUCAAAGAAAGCGUAAUAGCUCACUGAUCGAGUCUUCCUGCGCGGAAGAUGUAACGGGGCUAAGUCAAUAACCGAAGCCGCGGAUUCGCAGCAAUGCGAGUGGUAGGGGAGCGUUCUGUAAGCCUGCGAAGGCGGAUCUGCGAGGACCGCUGGAGGUAUCAGAAGUGCGAAUGCUGACAUGAGUAACGUUAAAGCGGGUGAAAAGCCCGCUCGCCGCAAGCCCAAGGUUUCCUGCUCUACGUUCAUCGGAGCAGGGUGAGUCGGCCCCUAAGGUCAGGCUGAGAAGCGUAGCUGAUGGGAAGCUGGUUAAUAUUCCAGCACCGAUUUCAAGUGCGAAGGGGGGACGGAGUCCUGAAGGUCAUCCGGGUGUUGGAUAUCCCGGUUUACGAGCGUAGGAGGUUGACAGGCAAAUCCGUCAACGGAUCUCCAAGGCGAAGGAUCGAGGUUGAGAGAUCAACUGAAGUGACUGAAUGGGCUUCCAGGAAAAGCCUCUAAGCAUCAGCUUGGAAUUGACCGUACCGCAAACCGACACUGGUGGGCGAGCUGAAUAUGCUCAGGCGCUUGAGAGAACUCAGGAGAAGGAACUCGGCAAAUUGACACCGUAACUUCGGGAUAAGGUGUGCCUUUGUAGUGUGAAGAGAGAAACACUCCGAGCAUGAAGAGGCCUCAGAGAAUCGGUGGCUGCAACUGUUUACUAAAAACACAGCACUCUGCAAAGAUGAAAGUCGACGUAUAGGGUGUGAUGCCUGCCCGGUGCUGGAAGAUUAAUUGAUGGGGUGCAAGCUCCUGAUCGAAGUCCCAGUAAACGGCGGCCGUAACUAUAACGGUCCUAAGGUAGCGAAAUUCCUUGUCGGGCAAGUUCCGACCUGCACGAAUGGCAUAAUGAUGGCCACACUGUCUCCUCCUGAGACUCAGUGAAGUUGAAAUGUUUGUGAUGAUGCAAUCUCCCCGCGGCUAGACGGAAAGACCCCAUGAACCUUUACUGCAGCUUUGCAUUGGACUUUGAACCGAUCUGUGUAGGAUAGGUGGGAGGCAGUGAAGCUAGGACGCCAGUCUUAGCGGAGCCAACCUUGAAAUACCACCCUGAUUUGUUUGAGGUUCUAACCUAGGAGCGUGAUCCGCUUCGGGGACCGUGCAUGGUAGGCAGUUUGACUGGGGCGGUCUCCUCCUAAAGGGUAACGGAGGAGUGCGAAGGUACGCUAGGUACGGUCGGAAAUCGUGCUGAUAGUGCAAUGGCAAAAGCGUGCUUGACUGCGAGACCGACAAGUCGAGCAGAUACGAAAGUAGGUCAUAGUGAUCCGGUGGCUCUGCAUGGAAGGGCCAUCGCUCAACGGAUAAAAGGUACUCUGGGGAUAACAGGCUGAUACCGCCCAAGAGUUCAUAUCGACGGC